AUUAUUCUUGGUCUGUGUUGC
rnacentral:siRNA from 1 species